UAGACGACGAAACAAUGUCGGUAUAUGCAUAGGGGUCUCUAUAUCAUAAUUGUCACUAGCACAUACGAAGGUUAAAACAAGUUUUGCGUUCCCUUGUCAACAUCUUAUUGUUAUUGUCUCGCUUGACGGAGUCAAAAAGCGAGACAUAGGUUAACUGUUUCCGGUUCGGCGUCAACAAUGUAUUAAUUUGUGAUUAGGUUUAGUUUAUGGUGAACCACUAUUGGUAAGUCACAUAUAUUUAAUAUGCAGUUGUAUCAGUAUUGGCACAUUUAAUUACCAUGGAUAUUAUUUGGCCCUACCCGCUUUUGUUUAUUUUUCAUGUAUUAAUUUUUGAUAAGGUCGGAUUUUGGGCAACCACUAGUGGAAGGUUACUGAUAUACAUGUACAUGUAUGGUGUGCAGUUGUAUUUUCAUUGGUGUGUCUCAUUGCUGUUCAGUAAAUGUGUCCCCGCUACCUAAUGUAUGGUUUAUUGACUUUGAAAUUUUGCUUAGUUUACUUGUUUAAGUUUGUGUUUAGCUGUUUAAAUUUUCAUAUUAUGUCUAAUUCAAGAAAAUAUUUAAAAUGUUUUAUGAGAUAUAUAGACAGAAGAUGUGGUAUGAUUGCCAAUACGACAACUCUCUAUAACAGACCAAAUGACACAGAAAAUAUCAAAUUUAGGUUACCAUACGACCUUCAACAAUGAGCAAACCCCAUACCGCAUAGUUAGCUAUAAAAAGCCCUGCAAUGACAAUGUAAAACAAUUCAAACGAAAAAAGUAACGGCUUAAUUUAUGUACAAAAAAUUAACGAAAACCAAAUAUGUAACUGAUAAACAAACGACAACCACAGAGUUAAAGACACCUGAUUUGUAACAGGUACAUGCAUACAGAAUAUGGCGGAGUUAUGAUCUUUGUUUUCAGAAGAAAUAUAAUAAGAAGACCCCCGCCACCCCUUUAAUAUCAUAAUGCCUAUGUGUAAAGUUAUAAAACUUAUAAAUGUAAAAAAUAAUAAUUCCAAUUUUAUUUUAUUUGUCUUAAUUUGAUUUUAGUUCCUACAUAAGUAGCAAGAGGCUUUUGCAAAAGGCUUUGUGUUGCUGUUAUUUACAAUAGCCUGCUUUUUUUACCUCUUAGAUCUGACUAUAUUGAUUAUGUUGAAUUAUU
rnacentral:lncRNA from 1 species